UUGGACGGUCAUAGUGGCCUGGUCAUACCUGUUCCCAUUCCGAACACAGCAGUCAAGCAAGCCUACGUCCUUUGUUGUACUGAUUUAAGCUCGGGAAGCAAAGGAAACUGUCCGCC
rnacentral:rRNA from 1 species